AACGAACGCUGGCGGCAUGCCUAACACAUGCCAGUCGAACGAGACCUCCGGGUCUAGUGGCGCAUGGGUGCGUCACGCGUGGGAAGCUGCCCUUAGGUUCGGAAUAACUCCCCGAAAGGGGUGCUAAUACCGGAUAAUGUCUGCGAACCAAAGAUAUAUCGCCCUUGGAUGGGCCCGCGUUGGAUUAGCUUUUUGGUAGGGUAAAAGCCUACCACGGCGACGAUCCAUAGCUGGGAUGAGAGGAUGGUCAGCCACACUGGGACUGAGACACGGCCGAGAAUCCUACGGGAGGGAGGAGUGGGUGAUAUUGGACAAUGGCGGGAAGGAUGAACCAGCUAUGCCGGGUGAGUGAUGAAGGCCGUAAGGAAGAAAAGCUCUUUUACCCGGGAUGAUAAUGACGGUACCGAGAGAAUAAGCUCCGGCUAACUCCGUG
rnacentral:rRNA from 1 species